CACCAAAGUCUUUUGUCAGGGUGAUACUUCUAUUGAUAUUUAUAUCAAUGAUAUCCAGAAUAUUGCCUGUUACGCCUUUGGAAUAAUAAUACUACCCGCCCAUGAUCCUAAUUCUUGUUUCAAGAAUUGGUACUGGAAUCGUUUUGGUUCUGGUUUCGUUCAUACUUUGUUGAUAGUUUUUAUCGACGUCUUUAGGGUAGUAUCGGGAUCUUCUUGAGUUGAAACUAUUCUUGUUAAAGCUUUGCUUUGACUUCUGGUGAAUUUUUUCGUAGUAUAGAAACCGACAUUU
rnacentral:snoRNA from 1 species